UUCUGCUCAGGACGAACGCUGGCGGCGUGCCUAAUACAUGCAAGUCGAACGAACUCUGGUAUUGAUUGGUGCUUGCAUCAUGAUUUACAUUUGAGUGAGUGGCGAACUGGUGAGUAACACGUGGGAAACCUGCCCAGAAGCGGGGGAUAACACCUGGAAACAGAUGCUAAUACCGCAUAACAACUUGGACCGCAUGGUCCGAGUUUGAAAGAUGGCUUCGGCUAUCACUUUUGGAUGGUCCCGCGGCGUAUUAGCUAGAUGGUGAGGUAACGGCUCACCAUGGCAAUGAUACGUAGCCGACCUGAGAGGGUAAUCGGCCACAUUGGGACUGAGACACGGCCCAAACUCCUACGGGAGGCAGCAGUAGGGAAUCUUCCACAAUGGACGAAAGUCUGAUGGAGCAACGCCGCGUGAGUGAAGAAGGGUUUCGGCUCGUAAAACUCUGUUGUUAAAGAAGAACAUAUCUGAGAGUAACUGUUCAGGUAUUGACGGUAUUUAACCAGAAAGCCACGGCUAACUACGUGCCAGCAGCCGCGGUAAUACGUAGGUGGCAAGCGUUGUCCGGAUUUAUUGGGCGUAAAGCGAGCGCAGGCGGUUUUUUAAGUCUGAUGUGAAAGCCUUCGGCUCAACCGAAGAAGUGCAUCGGAAACUGGGAAACUUGAGUGCAGAAGAGGACAGUGGAACUCCAUGUGUAGCGGUGAAAUGCGUAGAUAUAUGGAAGAACACCAGUGGCGAAGGCGGCUGUCUGGUCUGUAACUGACGCUGAGGCUCGAAAGUAUGGGUAGCAAACAGGAUUAGAUACCCUGGUAGUCCAUACCGUAAACGAUGAAUGCUAAGUGUUGGAGGGUUUCCGCCCUUCAGUGCUGCAGCUAACGCAUUAAGCAUUCCGCCUGGGGAGUACGGCCGCAAGGCUGAAACUCAAAGGAAUUGACGGGGGCCCGCACAAGCGGUGGAGCAUGUGGUUUAAUUCGAAGCUACGCGAAGAACCUUACCAGGUCUUGACAUACUAUGCAAAUCUAAGAGAUUAGACGUUCCCUUCGGGGACAUGGAUACAGGUGGUGCAUGGUUGUCGUCAGCUCGUGUCGUGAGAUGUUGGGUUAAGUCCCGCAACGAGCGCAACCCUUAUUAUCAGUUGCCAGCAUUAAGUUGGGCACUCUGGUGAGACUGCCGGUGACAAACCGGAGGAAGGUGGGGAUGACGUCAAAUCAUCAUGCCCCUUAUGACCUGGGCUACACACGUGCUACAAUGGAUGGUACAACGAGUUGCGAACUCGCGAGAGUAAGCUAAUCUCUUAAAGCCAUUCUCAGUUCGGAUUGUAGGCUGCAACUCGCCUACAUGAAGUCGGAAUCGCUAGUAAUCGCGGAUCAGCAUGCCGCGGUGAAUACGUUCCCGGGCCUUGUACACACCGCCCGUCACACCAUGAGAGUUUGUAACACCCAAAGUCGGUGGGGUAACCUUUUAGGAACCAGCCGCCUAAGGUGGGACAGAUGAUUAGGGUGAAGUCGUAACAGGGGAAAACCCG
rnacentral:rRNA from 1 species